CCAAACUGUGGACUUUGUCCCCUAUGCAAACAAGUCCAAGAGUCCGCCUCCCAUCUCCUCUUCCAGUGUAGGUUCACUACCCGUGUCUGGCAUGCGGUGGUCGCCUGGCUCGGCAUGCAGGACCACUCGCCACUGAUUUGGCGCCAUGAAGACACGGUUCAAGAUUGGUGGCUUAAGACGAUAAACUCUGGAGGGCACAUCAAGAAAGCCGCUGCCUCUGUUUUGAUGCUUGUCAUGUGGGAAAUGUGGAAAGAGCGGAACGCAAGAGUCUUUCGCAACACGGCUUCACCGACCACCAUUAUUGUUGCCAAGAUCAAAGAGGAGGCCAAUCUUUGGGCGUUGGCGGGAGCCAACCACCUGAGUGCGCUUAUGUCGCGAGAGUAA
rnacentral:rRNA from 1 species